CCUACGGGAGGCAGCACGUGGGGAAUAUUGGACAAUGGGCGAAAGCCUGAUCCAGCCAUGCCGCGUGUGUGAAGAAGGUCUUCGGAUUGUAAAGCACUUUAAGUUGGGAGGAAGGGCUGUAGAUUAAUACUUCUGCAAUUUUGACGUACCGACAGAAUAAGCACCGGCUAACUCUGUGCCA
rnacentral:rRNA from 1 species